AGAGUUUGAUCCUGGCUCAGGAUGAACGCUGGCGGCGUGCCUAAUACAUGCAAGUCGAGCGAACGGACGAGAAGCUUGCUUCUCUGAUGUUAGCGGCGGACGGGUGAGUAACACGUGGAUAACCUACCUAUAAGACUGGGAUAACUUCGGGAAACCGGAGCUAAUACCGGAUAAUAUUUUGAACCGCAUGGUUCAAAAGUGAAAGACGGUCUUGCUGUCACUUAUAGAUGGAUCCGCGCUGCAUUAGCUAGUUGGUAAGGUAACGGCUUACCAAGGCAACGAUGCAUAGCCGACCUGAGAGGGUGAUCGGCCACACUGGAACUGAGACACGGUCCAGACUCCUACGGGAGGCAGCAGUAGGGAAUCUUCCGCAAUGGGCGAAAGCCUGACGGAGCAACGCCGCGUGAGUGAUGAAGGUCUUCGGAUCGUAAAACUCUGUUAUUAGGGAAGAACAUAUGUGUAAGUAACUGUGCACAUCUGACGGUACCUAAUCAGCAGCCGCAUGCCC
rnacentral:rRNA from 1 species